GUCGAGACGGUCAGAGGAAAAAGGGCCUCAGUUUUGGUAUUACCUUAUAGAGGAAAGAUGUAAAUUACAUGUAAUUUUGUUCAGGUGAUGCAAAGCUGGUGCUAUUAUCUCAACAUACUUUGUAGUAAUACCUUAUCACCAUUAGUGGAGACCAAAUUAUGUUGUAUUAUGAUAUUCCGUCCAUCAGAAACAACUUCUCUACCUCUAAGGUAAAGGUAAGGUGUGCGUCUCCUCCAAACCCCAUUCUGUAGGAUUACACUGGCUAUGUUGUUGUAUACAGAAAUGAAAGAGAUGAUUAGGUCUAUUUGACUUGCUAAAUCAUGUAUAUUAUUGUAUUACUGUAAUUCACUUCUG
rnacentral:misc_RNA from 1 species